UAGAUAAUGUCAAACAUUAUCUAUUUGGUAUCACAUUUCAAAUUAGAUUUGAACCUUCCAUAUAAAACCAGAUGUUAUCCAUUUUUGGAUGUGAGAAAGGGAGGACGAGGGACUCUUUGGUAUGAAAAAAUCUCAUGCAAAGACUCUUGUGCAUGAUGAAAAAUUUUGUCCAAAAGUGUGGCGCAUGGGAGGAGAGUUCAGUCCUAUAUGGACUCUUGGUUUCCUAAUUUGAAUCCAAACCAAAUCAUAUUUGCUUUAGCCC
rnacentral:lncRNA from 1 species